CGCUUCGCCUGAGCAGACUGCGUGAGGGAGGAGGCUCUUGGGUUGUAACCUCUUUUCUCAAGGAAGAAGAACUGACGGUACUUGAGGAAUCAGCAUCGGCUAACUCCGUGCCAGCAGCCGCGGUAAUACGGAGGAUGCAAGCGUUAUCCGGAAUCAUUGGGCGUAAAGAGUCCGUAGGUGGCACUUCAAGUCGGUUGUCAAAGACCACAGCUUAACUGUGGAAAGGCAGUGGAAACUGAAGAGCUAGAGAAUGGUAGGGGCAGAGGGAAUUCCCGGUGUAGCGGUGAAAUGCGUAGAGAUCGGGAAGAACACCAGUGGCGAAAGCGCUCUGCUGGACCAUGACUGACACUGAGGGACGAAAGCUAGGGGAGCGAAAGGGAUUAGAUACCCCUGUAGUCA
rnacentral:rRNA from 1 species